rnacentral:rRNA from 1 species
UACGAAGGGGGGCUAGCGUUGUUCGGAAUUACUGGGCGUAAAGCGUGCGCAGGCGGCUUCUCAGGUCAGGGGUGAAAGCCCAGAGCUCAACUCUGGAAUUGCCUUUGAGACUGAGUGGCUUGAGUACGAGAGAGGUGAGUGGAAUUCCCAGUGUAGAGGUGAAAUUCGUAGAUAUUGGGAAGAACACCGGUGGCGAAGGCGGCUCACUGGCUCGUAACUGACGCUCAUGCACGACAGCGUGGGGAUCAAACAGG